rnacentral:rRNA from 1 species
GUGCCAGCAGCCGCGGUAAUACGUAGGUUCCGAGCGUUGUCCGGAUUUAUUGGGCGUAAAGCGAGCGCAGGCGGUUAGAUAAGUCUGAAGUUAAAGGCUGUGGCUUAACCAUAGUACGCUUUGGAAACUGUUUAACUUGAGUGCAAGAGGGGAGAGUGGAAUUCCAUGUGUAGCGGUGAAAUGCGUAGAUAUAUGGAGGAACACCGGUGGCGAAAGCGGCUCUCUGGCUUGUAACUGACGCUGAGGCUCGAAAGCGUGGGGAGCAAACAGGAUUAGAUACC